rnacentral:rRNA from 1 species
UACGUAGGGUGCAAGCGUUGUCCGGAAUUAUUGGGCGUAAAGAGCUCGUAGGCGGUCUGUCGCGUCUGCUGUGAAAACUCGGGGCUUAACCCCGGGCCUGCAGUGGGUACGGGCAGACUAGAGUGCGGUAGGGGAGACUGGAAUUCCUGGUGUAGCGGUGAAAUGCGCAGAUAUCAGGAGGAACACCGGUGGGCGAAGGCGGGGUCUC